rnacentral:rRNA from 1 species
AACGAACGCUGGCGGCAUGCCUAACACAUGCAAGUCGAACGAAGCCUUCGGGCUUAGUGGCGCACGGGUGCGUAACGCGUGGGAAUCUGCCCUUUGGUUCGGAAUAACAGUUGGAAACGACUGCUAAUACCGGAUGAUGACGAAAGUCCAAAGAUUUUUCGCCAGAGGAUGAGCCCGCGUAGGAUUAGCUAGUUGGUGUGGUAAAGGCGCACCAAGGCGACGAUCCUUAGCUGGUCUGAGAGGAUGAUCAGCCACACUGGGACUGCAGACACGGCCCAGACUCCUACGGGAGGCAGCAGUGGGGAAUAUUGGACAAUGGGCGAAAGCCUGAUCCAGCAAUGCCGCGUGAGUGAUGAAGGCCCUAGGGUUGUAAAGCUCUUUUACCCGGGAUGAUAAUGACAGUACCGGGAGAAUAAGCCCCGGCUAACUCCGUGCCAGCCGCCGCCGUAA